rnacentral:lncRNA from 1 species
UACCAACAAGCUUAUAGGUGUUCUGAUCAGGUUCAGACAGGAAACAGUGGCGUUGAUGGCGGAUGUCAAGGCUAUGUUUUAUCAAGUAAAGGUCCCUGAGAAAGAUGCAGAUCUCCUUCGUUUCUUGUGGUGGCCAGAUGGCAACCUGAGUGAAGAGAUGGAAGAGUUUAGAAUGACGGUUCACCUUUUUGGUGCUACGUCUUCACCGAGUUGUGCAUCUUAUGCCUUGAGGAAAACAGCCGAGGACAACAGGGGAACAGCUAACCAAACAGCAGUUGACACAGUUCUCCACAAUUUUUAUGUGGACGACUGCCUGAAGUCAGUUCCUACUGAGGCUCAAGCAGUUGAACUUGUGGGAGAUUUGAGAGCAUUGUGUGCAAAGGGAGGCUUUCAACUGACUAAGUGGAUCAGCUCUAGUAAGACUGUCCUAUUGACAAUUCCUGAAGAAGACCGAGCCACUGAGAUCAAAGACUUAGGCCUAAGCCACAAUAUUCUUCCCAUGGAGCGUGCACUGGGUGUCCAGUGGUGCACAAACUCAGAUAGUUUCAAAUUCCAUAUGAAGAUACCUGAAAAGCCUAAGACAAGGCGUGGGAUCCUGUCUGUUGUAAGUGCGAUAUAUGAUCCACUUGGAUUCCUGGCACCAGCCAUUCUGCCUGCAAAGCUGAUCUUGAGGGUGCUCUGUGAAGAAAAGUGUUGCUGGGACCAGGAAAUCAUGGAACCACAUGCACAAAGAUGGCAAGAAUGGUUGUCAGAGUUGAAAAUGCUGGAAGGAUUCACAGUAAGCAGGUGUGUGAAGCCAUUGACAUUUGGAUCUUUGCAGUCAGCACAACUACACCACUUCGCUGACGCAUCAGAGAUUGGUUAUGGUACUGCCACUUACCUGCUGUUGGAAAACAAAGAAGGUGAAAGAUGUUGCACUCUUUUGAUGGGAAAAGCAAGGGUAGCACCUUUGAAAUGUGUGACAAUUCCACGGCUAGAGUUGACAGCCGCAGUGGUGGCUGUGAGAAUGGAUCAGAUGCUGCGACGUGAGCUGCAGGUGCCACUCCAAGACUCCAUCUUUUGGACUGACAGCACCACAGUUCUGAGAUACAUAGGAAACCAACACAGUCGCUUCAAGACUUUCGUUGCAAACAGAGUCACAAUGAUCAGAGAACAUUCCCAUCCCUCGCAAUGGCAUUAUGUGAAGUCAGCGGAAAAUCCGGCAGACCAAGCUUCAAGGGGAAUGAGAGUGAGGGACUUUGUAGAAGGCAAGACGUGGUUGCAAGGUCCAGGUUUCCUCUUAAAAUCUCAGGAAGAUUGGCCGGAAUUGCCUUACAUGAUGGACAUAUCCGUAGAGGACCCUGAGGUCAAGUCCUGUGCAGUAGGAGUUGAAGAGGAUGCUCCUCAACAACAGGCCUCGUCUCUGAACAAGCUCAUAUCAAACUUCUCAGACUGGACACGCAUCAAAAGAGCAGUUGCUUGGUUUUUAAAACUGAGAAGAACACUGUUAGAGUUGAGAGAGGAGAGAAAAGCUUUUGUGGAUAAAAUCAAACA